ACCCACGCCAGGGACAAGACUGUCUACCUCCACGCCCGCCUCACCAACUCCGCGGCCACCGCCACCGCCACGCCCCUCCCCCAUGGUCGUCGAGUCCGAGUGGUGGAACCAGCGACGCAUGCGCGUCGAGGGCGACGUGAAAUAGGUGCUCCACCGCGGGCACAACGGGCACAGUGGAGGUGGAACGAGCACCAUCGAGUUCUGGUUCCACCGAAUCCACCGCUCGCACACCGGAUCCAUCGCUCCCACAUGCCCGCACACCGGAUCCACCGCUCCCUCCCCCGCGAUGGCCUGGUUCCACCGAGACAACUGCGGGGCUAGGGUUUGGAUUCGUGGGUGGAGCCCAAGGCUAGAUCCAGCAGGGGGAGGGAGGUAGAGGAGGGGAGGGAACUGCUGGUGGUCGGCAGUGGGCGAAGGCGCGACAAUCCAGGAUAUGGAUUCCUGAGGUUACUUCAUUCGCUUUGUGCUCUCCCGCGUUCUUGAUUCAUUCGCUUUUGUGUUCUCCCUAAACCUUUACGCCUGCCCUGCCUGGCAGCGUCACCCACCCGCCCAUCCACGUCGCGCGGUGUAGUCAUCCCCUAUCCGCAGCCGCCUCGCUCCCUCUCCCACAACAAAUCCAUUCUCCUCCUCCCACUCGACGAGGAUCGCGAGGAUGCUGGAGGACGUCGUCGCUGUCACGCUUGACGUUAGGGCCUCCGAUGCUUGACGUUAGGGCCUCUCGCUUGAAGAGGAACACAAACAGAGCUCAUGUUUUUUAUUUUGCUCUGCAUUAUCUACUGCUUCUCUGUGGGGGCGUUAUUUACAGUAUGUGGCCUGUUUGUUGUGUUGUUCCUGCGGAAGGGCGGGCGGGCCGAAGGUGUUUAAGAAAAUGUUGUUGUCAACAUCAACCUCCUGGAAGGGCCAGAACGCAGGCAGCGCCUCAACUCGUCACCCCAUCAGCACGGUGAGCCCCUUAUCUGGAUUGUUAUCAUGGUACGCGGUGCGCUGCAAGCCUGCAAGUGACAUCAAAUUGGAUUGGUAGUCAGCGGGUGUCAUAGUGUCAGUUCGAUGGAAUGGUUCUGCAGUGCAUGUGCUUCUGUAAUUUCCGCAAGAAGCAGUCAACUUCUCCCUGAUAUGGCACUAGGACAUUGUAGUGAUUCCCGCACGUUUGUGGAACUCGACAACCUACCAGAGCGCCAGAUGUUUCAUUGAGAAGAGAACUCCUCCAGUCUGGCUUUCCACUGGUCUAGUCUCUCCUUUAAACCAAAUUUGAUACCACUCAUUGAAGUCAAUAGCUGGGAUGUAGACAUGUGAAACCACACCUGUGGAACUUUCAGCGUGUGAUGACUGGGUCACUGGUGGAAUACCGUGUUUUUUGAGCUGCUCGCUUUCAGUUCGCGGUCAUAGUCCUGUGUUUUUUGCCUUCAGUUUCUUGAUGUAGUUAUUGCCUAAAAUUUCUAUAUCUUGUUCAUCGUACUGGAGAUGCUACUUCAUGUGGAGCUGGUAUGUAGGAUGAUUAUCACGAGUACUUCAAGCGCUCAUUUUAGGAAGACAUCGCUGCGCAAGUGCCUCAAGGAGUGGAAUGGUGAGCCCCUGUCCAUCUACUGAACAGAGAAAAUACCAGGAGCAAAUGACUGCAUUUUUAGUUAAUCCUUUUAUUCCUAAAUUAAUUGUGUUUGUUAAUGCUUUUAUUCCUAAAAUAAGUAACCGAGCUCGGGAUUCUUCGCAAUUUGAUUUGCGAGAUCACCCCCAUAAAGGCAUCAUGAAUCUUUAUGCCUGUAAAGACAUCCCACUGUCUCUUUCGUUUUCGAUAAGAUGUUUUGGCCGUUACAUAAUGCCUGUAAGGUAGAAUGCCAUUGCAGUUGUUGCAUCAGAAAGCAGCCAUUUAACGCCAUUGUAAAGUGAGUGAUGAUUAAAUACAACCACACUUCUGUCUCUCAGGUUUCUGUACAUGGAGUUUUUAUUGCACCUCUUCUUCCCCAGCAAUUAGUACUUGCAGUUAGACUAAAUGAAUCUUGAAUGCCCCUUAACUGUUGGCUUUACAUGGAACUACUUUUGCAUAUACCAGACAACUAUUUUGAACUUCAAUAUGUUUUUCAAUUCCAGCAAUUGAUCGAAACAUGAUAUAUUUGACAUAUUCAUGAUGGAUUUUUGUAUUUGAUGUGUCGCUUUUUCAUCUAUCAAUGUAAUUCUUGGACAUAACAUUGCGCACAGGUACCAAAUUCACACCCUUGUUAUUGCGAGUUCUGUAAAUCAUGAUGUUCACAUGUGAUGGUUUGAUUCAGUUCAAUGGUUAGCAAGCUAUUUGAACAUGAUACUAUAGUAGUGCAUAUUUGCUGUACAAAUGGCCACUGCCCAGCUAUUUGCAUAAGAUAUUAUGUUUCUCCUGUGACAUUUUCUAUGCCACAUACAUUUAUAUGGCAUUUUUGUGCAAUUUAGUACCGGUUUUUGGUUGAUGGUGUCUGGAGGUGUGAUGAGACAAAACCCUUUGUACGUGAUGAAUAUGGACUGAUCAGCAAUGAAGUGCUUGUGGAAAACAAUGUACUACCCGUUGUGCAGCCAGAGCCUUCUAUCAGAGGAACUAAUAUGGAUAAGGAUGCCCCUGGAGCCAUCAUCUCAGAACCCAAGCAUGCAAAUAGCAGUUAUCCGCCAUGUGGUCUCUGGAAUAUUAUUACACAAUACCAUAUAUGACGUUGUUCCCCUUUCUAGCAAGGGUCUUGCUCUGGUUCCUUUUUGGGAUGACCGUCAGGGAACCAUAACAGGCAUGCUCACUGCAUCAGAUUUUGUUUUAAUCUUGAGAAAGUUGCAGAGAAACAUUCAAGUUAUUGGCAACGAAGAGCCCAUUUCUGCUUGGAAAGAAGCAAAGCUACAGUUCUAUGGUGGGCCUGAUGGUGCUGUCAUGCAGAGAACGCCAUUAAUCCAUGUACUUCUCCAUAUAUUUGCUGAUUCUUUCAUUUGAUUCAAUGUGCAACAUUGAUCUCAGGGCCAAGAAAGAAGCUCAACUCGGCAUGCUUCCUGUUUGAAGCAAGGGCAACAAACUUACCCCACCAGAUCUCUGUCGCCAAAGCAGGGCUAGUGAAUAAGCUGUGUUUCCUCCCGGAUUGUCACUGCUUUUAUAUUUGUGCAUUUAUUUUGAGGGAAACAUUUUGCCCAAAAAAGGCCUGCAGUGCACGUUUUAAACAAGUCAUUUGAACCAACUCUUAUGCUGAAAACUGUAUGUGAUACUGCAGAAGGCAACACACUAGCUUGAUAGGAAAGUUGGUUGGCAAGCAUAGGUGGACUCUGGUGCCUUCAUAUAUCUAUAUAUAUAUUUUAAGUUGACGAUCUUCGUGAUGCUGAAACUGAUGAAGACCUCCGAUGAAAAAAGAGACAUGCUGCACAUGCACGAGGGUACUUGCAGAUCGAUGUCGGCUCUAUGGACGAACACUCGACCAAGUCAGAUGAGGAGUAUGAGGGCCUAGCCAUGCGCGACGUGAUGGCUACUGGUCCGACGAUGAGCAGCAAGCUGUGAGUUAAAGAUGAACUCACCUGCCCUGGAGAGUAACAUCCAUAGGAGUGAGGCAAAAUGGCUGGUACCACCACAACAUGGACCCGUUCCUGAAGAUGUCCAAGGAGGUGGUAGCCGACACCAUAAUGUCUUGUGUCAUUGUGUCACCGGUCGGCAACACACUGCGCUGGUACCGGCGGGUGUUGUGUUUCUUAGGCGUCUGCUUCUGUGCUUUGAGUUGUGCUAUAGAGUGGUUGUGCCAACUACUGAUUUUAAAAGAAAAAGGUGAGCUGAGAAUCAUUGUUGAAAACAAACAUGUAAUUGUUCGUUCUCAUCAGUUGUGCCAACUACCAAGCAUUUCAUUGAUCAGAAUUUAUCGUUGCUCAUGAGAACCAAAAGUAAGACACUUCUCAAUAACAUUGGA